rnacentral:rRNA from 1 species
GACGAACGCUGGCGGCGUGCUUAACACAUGCAAGUCGAACGGAAAGGCCCUGCUUGCAGGGUACUCGAGUGGCGAACGGGUGAGUAACACGUGGGUGAUCUGCCCUGCACUUCGGGAUAAGCCUAGGAAACUGGGUCUAAUACCGGAUAGGAGCCAUUUUUCGUGUGAUGGUUGGAAAGUUUUUUCGGUGUAGGAUGAGCUCGCGGCCUAUCAGCUUGUUGGUGGGGUAAUGGCCUACCAAGGCGGCGACGGGUAGCCGGCCUGAGAGGGUGGACGGCCACAUUGGGACUGAGAUACGGCCCAGACUCCUACGGGAGGCAGCAGUGGGGAAUAUUGCACAAUGGGCGCAAGCCUGAUGCAGCGACGCCGCGUGGGGGAUGACGGCCUUCGGGUUGUAAACUCCUUUCGCUAGGGACGAAGCUUUUUGUGACGGUACCUAGAUAAGAAGCACCGGCUAACUACGU